GUGUAGCUUUGAGUCAGCCGGCUGCACAGCCGGGCCGCCUGCCUGGCUCAUCACCGCCUUUCAAGGCCGACCUUUCAACCUGACACCUGCUGUGGCUCCCUGGAGGCCGUCCAAGAACCCCGCCCGUCCUGUGCACUGUAUUUCCUUACCAAUCCUUCCCCUCGGCUGUUUCAAGUGGACUCACCUGCCCCCACCCCCGAUCAACUGUAAAUGCCUCUGGCUCCUCUUCCUCCUGAGCCCAGUACAGUAGCCCAGGCCCAGCGGGACUCCAGGGAAGCCGGCACCAUGUGCAGGCUCACCUGGCUUUGAUCAGCGUGAGACCCAGGGAAGUCACCGCCUCCCCUUGGCCCUUGGCUUCCUUUGUAUAAACAUCAACUCCAUUAUCCCCAUUCACCAAGAAAAAUGUCUUUUUGCCCAAAAUAGUUCAUAUUUAUUUUCUUAGCUUUACAAUCUUCUUGUAAAGACAAGGGCUGGCCCGAUCAUCCCUGCCAAAGCCGCUGGAAUGCUUUGUAAACAACUGACAGCAAAUUUCACUCCAGGGCUAAUGGCACAGACACCCCUUUCAAGUGAAUUGCAGGAAAUGGGAACAAAACAGAGAGAGAGAGAGAGAGAGAGAGAGAGAGAAGAGAGAGGGAAGAGAAGUCCAACUCCAGAGCCUCCCCGGAGGACCCAGCCUCGCCCAACUGAAGCCAACGGGAUCCGGCAGUUUGUGCAGCAGUCACUGGGUGCUGUGUGAAGAGAAGAGAGUUUAAAAUAUACAAGCUCUGCGUGAGACCCUCACACGCUUCAAGUUGAUGAUGUGCCCAAAUGAGAACCAGGAGUCCAUGAACUGAAGACAUCUUUGAUGAGUCCAGGAAGGCUUCCUGGAAGAGGUGAGACCUGAGCUACAUCCUUAGGGGCAGAGAGACCCGCUUAGGGAAAAGAAGGCCUGGUGGGAAAAAUGCAAUGACAAGGCCAGACUGGCCCUGGAAGCCUUCCGUCUUCACUUUCUGACUGUGCCAGGAGUGCGAAGAGACACGGAUCAUUGCCCUGGAGAAGCCCAAAGAUGGGGCUCUGUGUGGGCACAGGAGCGGAGGGGCAGGACCAGGACCAGCACCAGCAGCCACACAAACGCGUCUUGAGUUUCUCCACGCCAGGUACUGUACACUCCUUCAUUGAAUCGUUGCGGAAGGUAAGGCUGCUCUUGCUUUUGCAAGCGGCAUCAAACCUAGGCUCUUGUUUGACUUGUAAAAAUCAAAGAACUGAGGUCUCUGCCCGGGGGCGUCUCGUCCUGCUGCCAGAUCAAAAUCAAAAUAGAAACAAGAAUGUAUUUGCCAGGCCCGUGGAAUGCGUCCUCAGCCUCACACCAAUGAAAUGCAAUCCACGCACAGAAACGGGGCUGCUCAGGAAACUGGGGACGGGAUGGGAAGGUGUCCGAGGAGACUAAUUUUAAACAGUAUCGGAAGUCUCUGCUGUCCACGCAGGGAGAAGAUGCCGACGCUUCCUGCGUGUCCAUCACUUAUGUGCCUAACUUGGGCACUUUACGUUAAUCCCCCGAGGUUAGUACCGUCAGGGCGCAGACAAGCAAAGCAAAGCUCAAAGAGGCGCCAUGACGUGCCCACGGUCGCCGGGGAGCCAGGAGCAGCGUGGGGCAGGCCCUGCGGCCCGAGAGCCACGGUGCACACACGGAUUUGCAGUCAGAGCAGAUGCCUCAGGCAGGGACGGGCACAGCACGUGCUCAGGCAGAAGAAGGCCACUUCCAGGCUGCGUUAUUUUUUUUCAGAGUCACGUGUAAUUUGUGAAACCUGGACCAGCGUGGAGGAUUGCUCUAAUGCCAAGCUCCCGGCGUUAAUGAACCACAGUUACGUGGACAUGAACACUGGAGGCGGCCGGGUGAAGGGUAGCUGGGAUCUCUCUGUGCGCUUCUUGGCCAAAACUCCUCGCAAAAACUGACAAGACUCAUUUUCUGUUGGAAGGUCUGGAAUCCUCGAGUUCACACACACACAGACACACAGACACACAGACACACACACACAAAGGCUGUUUUCAGAACUUGCUCAGCUCUCUUCUCGCUGGAACGUUGAUGACAAGGAGCUGAUUAAAGACCUGGAAGCCGUUUCGUUUAUUCAUGUGCACGCACGCGCGUGCACAUACACAACACGCACAAAGUCGUUGUGAACAUCAGACGUGCGGAAGUUGAGAAGAAACACACGAGGCACUGUCCCCUGCAAGUGACACCCGUGGCAUGAGCCAGCGCGAGCUGGGACUUCGGGGUGGCCGUGUGCUGCGACAGGCCGCGCUCCAAGAUGGGCCAAGAGGAAGGCAGGUGCUCCCGGCACUGGGGACAACGCCAGCAGGAGCACAGAGGAGCCGGGCGCGGGGGCGUGUCCUGGAGAAGCGGGGCGGCGGCCCGUCAGAUCCGUGUCAGUGACAUGGGGAGACUUGGGGAAGCAGCCAGUUGGAGAAGUGCCCUCAAAUGCCAGGCCAAGAGGGGAGAGCUGUCAUGGCCACUAAAUAACAGCCAUUAUCACCUUUCCUGGUGCUGUCAGAAUGUGUCAGGGAGCUGCUGCCCAGGGUGAGAUGGACAGGCCUGCACGGACCCUCCCAGGAGGCCACUAAGAAAGUUGUCAUCUGGAAGGGAAGCAAGGCAAGGGCUGGAACCAGAAGUGUCCUCUUGGGCUUGUGGCAAACCAGGGCGGGGGGUGGCACAUGUGGACUCCAGGCCACAGUGAUGCUAAGUAGGUGGGACAGGAAGUCAGCAGCUUCUGACUGGCGUCUGCCCCACCCCCAGGAAAUGACAUCAGAGACCAUCGAGGAGGGACGAAGAUAUACCCUGCCCCUUGACCCAGGAGGGCAUCGAAUAGGUGGCAGCGGAGGGGACCGCUGGGGGGACAUUCAGAAUCGGGCACCGGCAGAAGGCUGCAGACAGAGCCUCGCAGCCCUUGCCUGGUCACCCUGGGUCAGUGUAUGACAUGGGUGGGCUGGAAACAGCCCAGAGCUGAUCCCCCACAACCACAGAUGGAGGCCAGGAGCCCGAGGGCACCGCAGGGACAGGACAAAGAAGGUGAAGGCACAGGGCCACGCCAUCAGGCUUCCCCUGGGAUGACCAUGAGAGGGGCGAAGGCACAAGCUCUGCUUCAUUGGCUGCUGGCCUAAGAAGCAUCAUCGAACGCUCCCCGAAUCUCUCAUUUGACAGAAGCAGCAACACAGGGGCUGUCUGGGACUAGACCCGGGUGAGUGCACAGCUUUGGCAGCCUCACCUCCACAGUGUGAUAACUGGGGGUUGCAGGCUGCUCCCAUGGCCCUUGGGACCCAAUUUGCACUAAGUUA